GUCAGAGUUCUGUUUGUGUGUUUCCACAGGGAGAACAGCAGCCGAUUUGGAUUCCAGAGAGACUAACCAAAGCAAUUUCUACAGACCAAAAAGAAGAUGAUUUGACUCAAAUCCAUAACAGCUGAUAUCCAGAGCUCCAGAUUGGCUAUUCUUACAUCUGCGACAGUGAUUAACCAGGAUGCUUUUUUCAAUAUCUAUUUUAUUAUUGCAUUUUCCCACAUCAUAAAGUUCUAUUUUAUUUUUUGAGCUCAUACAAACCUAGGUUAAUGUUUUUCUGAGCAGUUUUAUUUUUUGACUGUGGAGUUUUUAAACAUUGCAAUGGAGAUUUCACCUAGGUAAAGCUACAAGGCCUUUGCUAUUGUCUUAUGUGUUGUACGUUUGUGUGCACUCUUGUGUUUUGUGUUGUAUGUCUGUAUGUGCAUAUGUCCAUAUUUCAUAUAUGAGGAGCGCUCAUGAAAAAAUGGGUCCGAAUUUUUUUUUUUUUUAUUCACGUGAUUUAAAUGGUUUAAUUUAAAUUAGGUAAACAGCUGUUAAGGAUUGUUUUUAAAGGAGGUUAACAGAUCUGUUUGUUUACUUUCACCUUUCCUUUUCAUUAUAUUUUAUAAUUCUGUUCAGGAUAAUGUCUCUUUAGCAUCAUUGCCAGAAUUCCUAUCUUCAUCCCAGUGCCGGUGAAGACAAAGAUAAAACCAAACUACAGCUUCUAUGAUAGCUAUCACAGUAAACUGUAUAAACUGAUGCAUCAAUGAAUUAACUCAACAAGUAAUGCUCAAUCAAGGAGUCGAUUUACUUUGGGAGGAAAUGGACAUAUUGAUAGACUUCUCCACUUUGAACUGCUUGCAGAACUUGCCUGGACUAUGUAUCACUUGUAUACAUUGUGAACUAUCAUUUGGUGCAGCAAAUUGUGGUAGUGCUGGCAUAUCUUUGCUGAUGGUGUCACCAGUGAUGCAAUUUUUCCAAAGGAGCCGUCAAUUGGCUUGGUGUCAUGGCAUUUCUGUAUUCUCCUCCCUUCUGCUAGUGAUGGUCUAAAAUUUGGGGGCCAACAGAGGUGAGGCAAAGAAACUCACCCCCACACUGGCACCAAGGCCAAAUUUGGGGGCCAACAGAGGUAAGGCAAAGAACCUCACCCCCCCACUGGUGCAUAGGCCUGUCCACAGUAUGGCUGUAUGCUAGACUGGUAGUUAGUGACAGGUAUGAUCCAAUUGCAGUGGUAUCAACCUAAGACAGGAGGCUGACGCCUAGAGGUCAGUUCAUCCGAUGACGGGUAAGAACCAUAUGUUGAAUUGGACAACCUAACAGGCACGGUCCCUAGCCACAUUGCUUGUUGUUUAAUUAAUCAGAAGGGAGGAGAUGCUGAGAGCCAUUGCCAAGUAGGAAUGACGCAUGGCAAUUUCUUUGUCAGCCUACCCAAUGUUGCUUAGAGGGAGGACUCUCCAUUGUGGAAAUGGGCUUGCCUUGGACCCAGGUCAUUUGCAGUGACAUUGCAUGAAUGUUUGAGAAAGGUGACCCUGCUCAAGGACCAGGGUGGAUCUGGGUUUAGGGAGGAUCCUGCUGGAUUAGGGUGGGUCCAGGUUUAGGGUGUAUCCUGCUGGGAAUAGGGAGUAUCCUGCUGCCUCAGGUGCCCUCCCGCUCCUUGAGUUCCCAUUGAGUUCUCGCGGGAUUCAGAGAGUAUUUUGGGAUGCAGAGCCGAGUGGGGGUGUGAAUUUUUCCCCAGACGUGCGUGUAGUGUGCCGGUGACAGUUCGGGAAUAAAGAAUUGCUGUUUGA
rnacentral:lncRNA from 1 species